rnacentral:rRNA from 1 species
UCCAGCAAGCCUUUUUUUCAACCUUUGACCUCGGAUCAGGUAGGGAUACCCGCUGAACUUA